rnacentral:rRNA from 1 species
AUUGAACGCUGGCGGCAGGCCUAACACAUGCAAGUCGAACGAGUGGCGGACGGGUGAGUCAUGUCUGGGACACUGCCUGAUGGAGGGGGAUAACUACUGGAAACGGUAGCUAAUACCGCAUACCAUCGGAUGUGCCCAGAUGGGUUUAGCUAGUAGGUGGGGUAAAGGCUCACCUAGGCGACGAUCUCUAGCUGGUCUGCGAGGAUGACCAUCCCAACUGGAACUGAGACACGGUCCAGACUCCUACGGGAGGCAGCAGUGGGGAAUAUUGCACAAUGGGCGCAAUCCUGAUGCAGCCAUGCCGCGUGUAUGAAGAAGGCCUUCGGGUUGUAAAGUACUUUCAGCCGGGAGGCGUUACCCGCAGAAGAAGCACCGGCUAACUCCGUGCCAGCAGCCGCGGUAAUAC